rnacentral:rRNA from 1 species
ACGCUCGACACCUACGGGGGCAGCAGUCGGGAAUAUUGCGCAAUGGAGGGAACUCUGACGCAGUGACGCCGCGUAUAGGAAGAAGGUUUUCGGAUUGUAAACUAUUUUAGACAGGGAAGAAUAAAGACAGUACCUGUAGAAUAAGCUCCGGCUAACUACGUGCCAGCAGCCGCGGUAAUCUGAGCGGGCUGGCAAGGC